rnacentral:rRNA from 1 species
AUUGAACGCUGGCGGCAGGCCUAACACAUGCAAGUCGAGCGAGCGGAGGACGGGUGAGUAAUGUAUGGGGAGCGCCUGAUGGCGGGGUAUAACCACUGGAAACUGUAGCGAAUACCGCAUACACGCAGAUCACCUAUAUGGGUUUAGCUUGUGGGUGAGGUCACGGCUCACCUAGGCGACUAUCCCCAGCUGGUCUGAGAGGAUGAUCAGCCAGACUGGGACUGAGACACGGCCCAGACUCCUACGGAGGAAGCAGUGGGGAAUAUUGCACAAUGGGCGAAAGCCUGAUGCAGCCAUGUCGCGUGUAUGAAGAAGGCCUUAGGGUGGUAAAGUACGUUCAGUCGGGAGGCGUUACCGACAGAAGAAGCACCGGCUAACUCCGUGCCAGCAGCCGCGGUAAUUC